UGUGUUGUGGCUCAGUGGUAGAGUACUCGCUUAGCAUGUGUGAGGCACUGGGUUCGAUCCUCAGCACCAUGU
rfam:Ictidomys tridecemlineatus contig101817, whole genome shotgun sequence.